rnacentral:rRNA from 1 species
CCUACGGGAGGCUGCAGUGAGGAAUAUUGGUCAAUGGGAGAGAUCCUGAACCAGCCAAGCCGCGUGAGGGAAGACGGCCCUAUGGGUUGUAAACCUCUUUUGUCGGAGAACAAAACCCGGGACGUGUCCCGGACUGCGUGUACCCUAUGAAAAAGCAUCGGCUAACUCCGUGCCAGCAGCCGCGGUAAUACGGAGGAUGCGAGCGUUAUCCGGAUUUAUUGGGUUUAAGGGGUGCGUAGGCGGUCCGUUAAGUCAGCGGUAAAAUUGCGGGGCUAAACCCCGUCGAGCCGUUGAAACUGGGAGUCUUGAGUGCGCGAGAGGUACGCGGAAUGCGCGGUGUAGCGGUGAAAUGCAUAGAUAUCGCGAAGAACUCCGAUUGCGAAGGCAGCGUACCGGCGCCAGACUGACGCUGAGGCACGAAAGCGUGGGGAUCGAACAGGAUUAGAUACCCUGGUAGUC